rnacentral:rRNA from 1 species
GACGGGGGGUGCUAGCGUUGUUCGGAAUGACUGGGCGUAAAGGGCGCGUAGGCGGCCGCUUGCGUCGGAUGUGAAAGCCCGGGGCUCAACCCCGGAACGGCAUCCGAUACGGGGCGGCUCGAGACCGAGAGAGGUGAGUGGAAUACCCAGUGUAGAGGUGAAAUUCGUAGAUAUUGGGUGGAACACCGGUGGCGAAAGCGGCUCACUGGCUCGGUUCUGACGCUGAGGCGCGAAAGCGUGGGGAGCAAACAGG